CCUACGGGGGGCUGCAGUAAGGAAUAUUGGUCAAUGGGCGCAAGCCUGAACCAGCCAUGCCGCGUGAAGGAUGACGGCCCUAUGGGUUGUAAACUUCUUUUGUACGGGAAAAAACCUCUGGUCGUGAAUCAGAGCUGAUGGUACCGUAAGAAUAAGCAUCGGCUAACUCCGUGCCAGCAGCCGCGGUAAUACGGAGGAUGCAAGCUCAAUCCGGAUACAUUGGGUGUAGGGGGUGCGCAAACGCAGCAGUGAAAGCCUACAGCUUAACUGUAGAACUGCCAUUGAUACUGUUAUUCUUGAGUGUUGUUGAGGUAGGCGGAAUGUGUCAUGUAGCGGUGAAAUGCUUAGAUAUGACACAGAACACCGAUCGCGAAGGCAGCUUACCAAGCAACAACUGACGCUCAUGCACGAAAGCGUGGGGAUCAAACAGGAUUAGAUACCCGUGUAGUC
rnacentral:rRNA from 1 species